rnacentral:rRNA from 1 species
GACGAACGCUGGCGGCGUGCCUAAUACAUGCAAGUCGAGCGAGCUUGCCUAGAUGAAUUUGGUGCUUGCACCAGAUGAAACUAGAUACAAGCGAGCGGCGGACGGGUGAGUAACACGUGGGUAACCUGCCCAAGAGACUGGGAUAACACCUGGAAACAGAUGCUAAUACCGGAUAACAACACUAGACGCAUGUCUAGAGUUUAAAAGAUGGUUCCGCUAUCACUCUUGGAUGGACCUGCGGUGCAUUAGCUAGUUGGUAAGGUAACGGCUUACCAAGGCAAUGAUGCAUAGCCGAGUUGAGAGACUGAUCGGCCACAUUGGGACUGAGACACGGCCCAAACUCCUACGGGAGGCAGCAGUAGGGAAUCUUCCACAAUGGACGCAAGUCUGAUGGAGCAACGCCGCGUGAGUGAAGAAGGGUUUCGGCUCGUAAAGCUCUGUUGGUAGUGAAGAAAGAUAGAGGUAGUAACUGGC